rnacentral:lncRNA from 1 species
CUCCUCCCUGCUGCUCGUCUGGACUGCACGCAUUGCUUCAGCAUUCACCUUUUGCCUGUUUCCUGAAUUCAAAUAGCUAAAGCAACCUGGAGCUCACGAGCAUGAGAGUGAUUGAGAAUACUUGGAUUUGUGCCAAGAAUAUCUCCAGAUUUAAAGCAAAACAACAGAAUUACUUUUGUGAAUUAGGAAAUGGAAGCCUAUUAAUUCAAUCUCAGCAUUUAAACUUACUUUGAGAGCGUAGAGUCCUGACUUCCCAGGGAUUUUGAAGAAUGUUCCAUCACCUACACGAGUGUUAGUAUGAAGCAUUGCAUUCAGGCAAGCUAAUGGAGAAGUUCCACUGAAAAAUAAAAUUGUGCAAAAAUAAAAC